CUAUGACUUAGUGGCAGAGAAUCUGGUUUGCAUGCAGAAGGUUCCAGGUUCAAUCCCUGGCACCCCCAGGUAGG